rnacentral:rRNA from 1 species
UGCCAUCAUUCAGUUGGGCACUCUAGCGAGACUGCCGGUAAUAAACCGGAGGAAGGUGGGGAUGACGUCAAAUCAUCAUGCCCCUUAUGACCUGGGCUACACACGUGCUACAAUGGUUGGUACAACGAGUUGCGAGUCGGUGACGGCGAGCUAAUCUCUUAAAGCCAAUCUCAGUUCGGAUUGUAGGCUGCAACUCGCCUACAUGAAGUCGGAAUCGCUAGUAAUCGCGGAUCAGCACGCCGCGGUGAAUACGUUCCCGGGCCUUGUACACACCGCCCGUCACACCACGAGAGUUUGUAACACCCGAAGUCGGUGAGGUAACCUUUUGGAGCCAGCCGCUUAAGGGGACAGAAUUUGUCAAAAUAA